AUUGAACGCUGGCGGCAUGCUUUACACAUGCAAGUCGGACGAGUGGCGGACGGGUGAGUAACAUAUCGGAACGUACCGGGUAAUGGGGGAUAACUAAUGGAAAGAUUAGCUAAUACCGCAUAUUAUUCGAGCGGCCCAUAUCGGAUUAGCUGGUUGGUGGGGUAAAGGCCUACCAAGGCGACGAUCCGUAGCGGGUCUGAGAGGAUGAUCAGCCACACUGGGACUGAGACACGGCCCAGACUCCUACGGGAGGCAGCAGUGGGGAAUAUUGGACAAUGGGCGCAAGCCUGAUCCAGCCAUGCCGCGUGUAUGAAGAAGGCCUUCGGGUUGUAAAGUACUUUUGUCAGGGAAGCGUUACCCGAAGAAGAAGCACCGGCUAACUACGUGCCAGCCGCCGCGGUAAUAC
rnacentral:rRNA from 1 species